rnacentral:rRNA from 1 species
ACGAAGGGUGCAAGCGUUAAUCGGAAUUACUGGGCGUAAAGGGUGCGUAGGCGGUUCGUUAAGUCUGUCGUGAAAUCCCCGGGCUCAACCUGGGAAUGGCGAUGGAUACUGGCGAGCUAGAGUGUGUCAGAGGAUGGUGGAAUUCCCGGUGUAGCGGUGAAAUGCGUAGAUAUCUGGAGGAACACCAAUGGCGAAGGCAACUUCCUGGGGCAAUACUGACACUGAUGUGCGAAAGCGUGAGGAGCAAACAGGA